UUGCCAUAUUUGUCCUGCCGGGCCCCACCAAUGUCACCCCUAGAGGUUCCGAAGAGCUCACCUUAGCCCAUGCGGGAUUAGGAAAAAGAGUGUUGGCUGUUUCAGAUCAAAGCAGACAUGAACAGAUUGUCAGACAGAUGGAGGAGGAGUUUUUGAAACUCAAACCACUUAAUGGAAGAUGGAUGUUCCACAAAGCAGCAGGUGGAAGCGGCCAGAGAAGGUUGUCUGUGAUACCCAUGGAUGCAGAGGGUUAUAGUGGCCACCAACUUCGAUCUGCAUCAAAUAAUGGCAAAAUAGUUCUAUUCUUGGUGCCCCUCCAGGAGGAAAUUUUCACAGAGCCUCUCCCCUUUGAUGCUGCAGAAUUUUCAAGAAUGCCUCAGGUGCCAUGUGUUAAGUGCAACACAACCAUGCCGCUACAAAUGUUGGCACUGCACGCUGAAAAAUGCAAAGAAGUGUCAAAUGUAAGUUGUUUCCACUUUAAUGUUUUCAUGUUUUAUAUUAUUUGUUUGACAUCUUAUCUGACCAGAAAUGCCUAUGGAUAUAUAUAAACAUGCUAAGUGGGCUUAUAUGUCCACCAUGCAGUUUUUGGCAUCAUCACAAAAUGAUCUGAACAAAUUGUCAGAGGUUAACAUGCUUAAAAGCCGCUAGUCAGUCAUUGCAUUUUUCUGGGCUUUUGUGUCUCUUCGGC